AACCUGGGAACUGCAUUCGAAACUGGCAGGCUAGAGUCUUGUAGAGGGGGGUAGAAUUCCAGGUGUAGCGGUGAAAUGCGUAGAGAUCUGGAGGAAUACCGGUGGCGAAGGCGGCCCCCUGGACAAAGACUGACGCUCAGGUGCGAAAGCGUGGGGAGCAAACAGGAUUAGAUACCCUGGUAGUCCACGCCGUAAACGAUGUCGAUUUGGAGGUUGUGCCCUUGAGGCGUGGCUUCCGGAGCUAACGCGUUAAAUCGACCGCCUGGGGAGUACGGCCGCAAGGUUAAAACUCAAAUGAAUUGACGGGGGCCCGCACAAGCGGUGGAGCAUGUGGUUUAAUUCGAUGCAACGCGAAGAACCUUACCUGGUCUUGACAUCCACAGAACUUUCCAGAGAUGGAUUGGUGCCUUCGGGAACUGUGAGACAGGUGCUGCAUGGCUGUCGUCAGCUCGUGUUGUGAAAUGUUGGGUUAAGUCCCGCAACGAGCGCAACCCUUAUCCUUUGUUGCCAGCGGUUAGGCCGGGAACUCAAAGGAGACUGCCAGUGAUAAACUGGAGGAAGGUGGGGAUGACGUCAAGUCAUCAUGGCCCUUACGACCAGGGCUACACACGUGCUACAAUGGCAUAUACAAAGAGAAGCGACCUCGCGAGAGCAAGCGGACCUCAUAAAGUAUGUCGUAGUCCGGAUUGGAGUCUGCAACUCGACUCCAUGAAGUCGGAAUCGCUAGUAAUCGUAGAUCAGAAUGCUACGGUGAAUACGUUCCCGGGCCUUGUACACACCGCCCGUCACACCAUGGGAGUGGGUUGCAAAAGAAGUAGGUAGCUUAACCUUCGGGAGGGCGCUUACCACUUUGUGAUUCAUGACUGGGGUGAAGUCGUAACAAGGUAACCGUAGGGGAACCUGCGGUUGGAUCACCUCCUUA
rnacentral:rRNA from 1 species